rnacentral:rRNA from 1 species
GAUGAACGCUAGCGGGAGGCCUAACACAUGCAAGCCGAGCGGUAUUGUUUCUUCGGAAAUGAGAGAGCGGCGUACGGGUGCGUAACACGUGUGCAACCUGCCUUUAUCUGGGGGAUAGCCUUUCGAAAGGAAGAUUAAUACUCCAUAAUAUAUUGAACGGCAUCGUUUAAUAUUGAAAGCUCCGGCGGAAAGCGCUGGGCACGCGCAAGAUUAGCUAGUUGGUGAGGUAACGGCUCACCAAGGCGAUGAUCUUUAGGGGGCCUAAGAGGGUGAUCCCCCACACUGGUACUAAGACACGGACCAGACUCCUACGGGAGGCAGCAGUGAGGAAUAUUGGUCAAUGGGUGCAAGCCUGAACCAGCCAUCCCGCGUGAAGGACGACCGCCCUAUGGGUUGUAAACUUCUUUUGUAUAGGGAUAAACCUACCCUCAUGAGGGUAGCUGAAGGUACUAUACGAAUAAGCACCGGCUAACUCCGUGCCAGCCGCCGCAGUAA